rnacentral:rRNA from 1 species
AAUUUUCCGCAAUGGGCGCAAGCCUGACGGAGCGACGCCGCGUGGGGGAUGACGCGUUUCGGCGUGUAAACCCCUUUUCUGGGGGAAGAAGCAAGUGACGGUACCCCAGGAAGAAGGACCGGCUAACUACGUGCCAGCAGCCGCGGUAAGACGUAGGGUCCGAGCGUUGUCCGGAGUUACUGGGCGUAAAGGGCGCGUAGGCGGCUUUCUACGUCCCACGUGAAAGCCCCUGGCUCAACCAGGGAGGGUCGUGGGAAACGGGGAAGCUGGAGGCAGCGAGAGGCUGGUGGAAUUCCCGGAGUAGUGGUGAAAUGCGUAGAGAUCGGGAGGAACACCGGUGGCGAAGGCGGCCAGCUGGCGCUGACCUGACGCUGAGGCGCGAAGGCGUGGGGAGCGAAC